UUGUUCCAGAGCAAAGCAUAAGAAAGAGCCUUCCAUCAGUGAGGCCAUCUGUGUCACACUACGGAAGUUGGAAAAAGACCUUCUUGGAUCUUUGUAAAAGGAGGAAGGCUGAGGUGGACAGAAAGUGAGGCAGAAGUCUUGGUCAGAGUCUACACGGCAGUGAGGGGGACAGACAAUAAAUACAAUAACAUUUUGGAAUCUGUACCAUUCUGAGCUGUCAUCAAAGUGCCACUCAUUGCAUCAGGAGUCGUCCCUGGGAUCAUCUAACCGUGGAUGUUGGGUCAUGUGGAUCCCUCUUCCUACAGAGCUUGUCAACAUUCCUCCAUCCCAGCAGACUGUCAAAGCCCAUCUCUGGGUAGCCUUCCCUGAUCUCCCCCACUGUCCCUCCAUGCCCGUGGGACCCUUCUCCAAAGAGCGAAAGAGAAAUGACCUUUUAGAGACUAAGGAAAAAUAGUGGACAAAGAAGAGGACCAGCCAGUUAAAGCCAAAGUGGAAUUCAGGUGAGAGAACUGACCUGGUUCUUCUGGUUCUUUGUUCAAUUCAGGUCACCAGAUCCAAUUUCCUUUAUUUACCACGUUCCCCAAUAGGUCAGUCCAACACUGCUCUACUGCCAAAGUCUUAUGCUUUAAAGAUGAUCAAUGCCUGCUCUAUCCUGUUACACUGUAAGUCUGCCAAAGGACAUUCUAUCCCUUAGUCCAAAAGCCUCCACCAGCCUUCAGAUAUUCACAGGCUGCAGUGCAGGCAUCUGUGCUUGUUGAUUUAAUGGUGGGCCCUUCCUGAGUAGGGGCUGUUGGAAGGGCCCUGGGAAGCAUGGGAAAUCUCAUUGCAUGGUAAACAGCACUUCUGGGUGCAGCUUUGGUCCUAAUGAGAGUUCCUUCAUUUACUAGCUGUGCAGUCUUCUCCAUCUUACCUAAACUCUUUUGUCUCAGUUUCCUCAUCUGUAGAAUAAGGAUAAGAACAUCUCCUUUUUCAUAAAGUGAUUAUGGGGAUUAAGUGAAUUAGUAUGCAAAUCACAUAGAGUGGUGUGUAUAUUGUUUUCUGUUA